GGAUGAAGAAAUGGGCACCUUUGAUGCCUC
rnacentral:piRNA from 1 species